UAAUCUCACCGUUCAAGAACGAGGGUUAUUUAAAAUCAAGACAAAACUCUGUAUAAACUGGCCUAAUAUAAUAAUUGAUAACACAUUGAAUUCAACUCAAUUGAGCAUGCUAAGAGGGAAAAAGGGAAAAAUGAAAAAUAAACAUCUUGACAAAUACACUUCUAAUCACUUGUGGCAAUGAAUGUAUGUCUGUGGUAGAAACUUUGACAGCACUUAAAUGGUUUUGGAAGGGGUGCCAUACUUUCCAAAACCAAAUAUCUAACCGACAACAACCAAAAAAAAAAAGGUUUUAUUAUUCCUUGACCCCAAAGAAACAGGUUGGGCGCUCGUGUGUGUGUGUGUGUGUGUGUGUGUGUGAGAGAGAGAGAGAGAGAGAGAGAGAGGCGGGGGUAGGGGUAGGGGUAGGGGUAGGGGUAGGGGUUAUCUAGACCAUCCAUCCAUGUUGAUGUGAGCUCUCUCCUUUCUCUCUGCUCUGUUUUGCUAAAAGGCCAUAUGGGACUACUCUUGUCCUUUUAAAGUUCACUUUGGUGUUUUUACUAUUCUAAUUUGAACGUGAUCUCUCUAUCCGAAUAUGUUAAAAAUGAUAAAAAGAAAUUUCAUGGUUUUUUUUGUUUUGUUUUUUCUGCAUUUUCCAUCAAAAGUUUCAACAGAUUUUGAUAUAGAGACUACAUUGCAAUUGAUUGAAAAUUAUAGGGUUUUAAGCGUUCAAAUUAAAACUACAGGGAUCAAAGGGAAAUUUUGUCUAACCUAGAGGUUCCAACGAUGAAAUUUAGCUUCCUUCAUUUAGUUACUUUCAUGGACACUCUUUAGCCAAAACUUACAAUGUGGCACUUGCAACACAUGUAUGGUAGUGCUGUCAAAAAACAAAAACACUGCACCCGGUUGGCGUACGGAGAUGGCCUCGGAUUUGGCAUAUCCGGAUUUUUCUCCCUAUUCUCUUCAUCUCCGGGUGUGGCGGACCAUUUUGCUCUCUUGGAUUUCUCCUCCGAUCGGACUCCAAUCCAGCCAACAGCCGGAGAUGGCACGGACCAGGGUUACCCCCGUCCUGGGUCGCGCGGACCUCCGCGUGGUGGUCAAAGACCGUUGUCUCCUCGUUCUUGGAUGGGUAUUACUGUUGUGCCCUAAUUUUGGUCAAUAUCGAUUUUACAGAAGAGAGAGAGGAAAACAAUCGGGUCUUCUACAUUGUAGAAGCUGAUUGCAAUUUUAUUAUAGGUAGUCGAGGCCACGUGUGCUAAGGUGGCAUCCUCAUAAGUUGACCUAUUGGGUGGGGCUCCUAGGAAUGGACUCCUUGCUGUUUUAAGCAUUUCGAAUCAUAAAAAUGCUACGCAAAUUUUUAUAUGAACUUCACUUUGGUCCUAUAGUUUGACUAAAGUUUACUUUGAUAUGCUAGAGUUCCAAUUUGAGAAAUUAGGAAUCUUUGGCUCCAUCCUGUUACAAUGGUAUGACGAGGAUAGAUUGGUCCCUAUAGUUUGAUCUGCUUCAAACUAUGAACUGGUAUUGUCGGAGAUUAGAUAGAAUCAAAUUGAAAUUACAAAAUAGUAUUCUUUAAUUAAAAACUAAAAGAAUAAAGUGAACCAUUUUCUAAACUACAAGACCUUUUGGGUAUGGAUUUACAUAUUUGGGUGUGUUGGACUUUUUAUCAAAUACUUUUUUAUUUAUUAUUUUUUAUAUUUUUUUUAAUUAUUCAUUAAAAAAGUAAAAAAUUAAAAAAAUCUUCCAUCCAAUUAAAAGUAAAUUACUCUGUAUUUUGUUCGGAUUUAUUUUUCUUAAAAUUAAAACUUAUUUUUAUUUUUUUUACUGUUUAUUACUACGUUUGGGUGGUUAAUUUUGUUUGUAAUAUUCAUAAUAAUUAAUCUUAGAAACUUCAAAUCAUAUUUCAAACAUUUCAUUGUUGAAUCUUUCUAGCUCAAAAAUUUUGAAAGUAAUAUAUUUUCAUAUUAUAUCACUAAUAAUUAAUUUGGAAUUUAACAAAAAAAUUGAAUUAAAUUUAAAUAUAAAUUAAUAUUGAAGUGAAAUUUUUAUUUUAAUCAUCGAAUAUAAUUAAUAUAUAUUUCUCUAAUUAAACAAAAUAUAUAAUAUUAACAACUUAAUUAAUGAAGUAGGUUUCCUUCUUCCCCUUACUUGCUUCUAGCUCCUGCUUUAUUUGGCGGUAAUUUUGCUUUUCAUAUCUAUCCCCAUUUAUCCAACUUAUAAAUCCCUCUCUUCCAAAACACAUCCAAACACCAAAAUAUAAAUCCACCCUUCUUAAAAGGUGGGGCCCCCUUAUUAUAAAGCCUCCCUCAUUCUAAUCACCACAAUAUCUCCGCUGCAAACGGCUGUGAUAUAACCGAACUGGUUUCAAAACGGCGGAAUGGUUUGGUUUUCGUAAUCAGUUGGUUACUAAUCAUGGUGGAACGUAGAAUUUAUUUAGGGGGCUGGAAGUAUACAUUUUAAAUAAUUUUUUUUUUUUUUUUUCGAUCAAAAAGUUUAGAGGAAACAGUAGUAUAACACCCCAACCCGC
rnacentral:lncRNA from 1 species